AUUGAACGCUGGCGGCAUGCUUUACACAUGCAAGUCGAACGGUAACAGGCCUUCGGGUGCUGACGAGUGGCGAACGGGUGAGUAAUGCAUCGGAACGUGCCCAAUCGUGGGGGAUAACGUAGCGAAAGUUACGCUAAUACCGCAUAAGCCCUGAGGGGGAAAGUGGGGGACCGCAAGGCCUCACGCGAAUGGAGCGGCCGAUGUCAGAUUAGCUAGUUGGUGGGGUAAAGGCCCACCAAGGCGACGAUCUGUAGCGGGUCUGAGAGGAUGAUCCGCCACACUGGGACUGAGACACGGCCCAGACUCCUACGGGAGGCAGCAGUGGGGAAUUUUGGACAAUGGGCGCAAGCCUGAUCCAGCCAUGCCGCGUGCGGGACGAAGGCCUCGGUUGUAAACC
rnacentral:rRNA from 1 species